CAGAGUUUAUCCUGGCUCAGGAUGAACGCUGGCGGCAUGCCUAAUACAUGCAAGUCGAACGAGAGGAAGGAAAGCUUGCUUUUCUGAAUCUAGUGGCGAACGGGUGAGUAACACGUAGGUAACCUGCCCAUGUGCCCGGGAUAACUUCUGGAAACGGAUGCUAAAACCGGAUAGGUAGCAGACAAGCAUUUGACUGCUAUUAAAGUGGCCUUGGCCAUGAACAUGGAUGGACCUGCGGUGCA
rnacentral:rRNA from 1 species